UUGGAAGUUAAUAGACAGGAGAGGGGAAAGGAGGGAGACGAAGUGAGACAGAGAGAGAAUUUAAGUUUAAUGACCAGAUGUUACUAUCCAUGAGUCAAGGAAGUGGUGAAUGUUAAGCCUAGCAAUGGUCUAGAUUUGAGGAGGAAUGAGAUGAGAACACAGAGGCAAAGAGACCAUAAAGCACUUACCUAAUAUCACAAAGCUAAAAGAAGGAAGCUAAGAUUUCUGGACUUAACAAAAAACCCAUUCCCAGAAGAGGUGCUCUGUCUUCCACGGAAAUGGCUGGGCUGGGAACAGGCCGCCUCUCAAGUCUCUUGAGACUUUUCCUGUAGAGGAAGCGGCAUUCAACAGGAUCUGCUGACAGCUCCUAACAGCCUCAGCUGGCACCACACAAACCAAAUGGAGGAGGCUGCUAGCAAUGCUUUCAUUAGGUGACCUAGUUGCUCUUCAGGUCUUCAGACUCCUUGAGAUUGGCUAGAAACCCUAAUACACACCAUAUGGGCACAGGGCCUUCUUUAUGACUUUUGCUAGCUCUGUGAAGGCUCAAGUUCCCAGGCUCUCUCCUGCCUUCAAGGGCUUCGUCCCCACACCACUCAGCAUGGUGGGAGACCAUUAACUCGGUUUU